CCUACGGGGCGCAGCAGUGAGGAAUAUUGGUCAAUGGGCGCGAGCCUGAACCAGCCAAGUAGCGUGAAGGAUGACUGCCCUACGGGUUGUAAACUUCUUUUAUAAAGGAAUAAAGUGAGGCACGUGUGCCUUUUUGUAUGUACUUUAUGAAUAAGGAUCGGCUAACUCCGUGCCAGCAGCCGCGGUAAUACGGAGGAUCCGAGCGUUAUCCGGAUUUAUUGGGUUUAAAGGGUGCGUAGGCGGGCUUUUAAGUCAGCGGUAAAAAUUCGGGGCUCAACCCCGUCCGGCCGUUGAAACUGGGGGCC
rnacentral:rRNA from 1 species